rnacentral:rRNA from 1 species
GAUGAACGCUGGCGGCGUGCCUAAUACAUGCAAGUCGAGCGAACAGACGAGGAGCUUGCUCCUCUGACGUUAGCGGCGGACGGGAGAGUAACACGUGGAUAACCUACCUAUAAGACUGGGAUAACUUCGGGAAACCGGAGCUAAUACCGGAUAAUAUAUUGAACCGCAUGGUUCAAUAGUGAAAGACGGUUUUGCUGUCACUUAUAGAUGGAUCCGCGCCGCAUUAGAUAGUUGGUAAGGUAACGGCUUACCAAGGCAACGAUGCGUAGCCGACCUGAGAGGGUGAUCAGCCGCACUGGAACUGAGACACGGUCCAGACUCCUACGGGAGGCAGCAGUAGGGAAUCUUCCGCAAUGGGCGAAAGCCUGACGGAGCAACGCCGCGUGAGUGAUGAAGGUCUUCGGAUCGUAAAACUCUGUUAUUAGGGAAGAACAAAUGUGUAAGUAACUAUGCACGUCUUGACGGGUCCUAAUCAGAAAGCCACGGCUAACUACGUG